UAACGCAUCCUCCACCGACCACAAACACGCCCGAGACAGACAGGAAAGAAUACACCGUGCCUCUGGAAUGGACGACAGAAAAUCCUGUUGAAAAACUUCAGAAGCUCGCCCAAGGCCUAGACCAGAGUUUUCCAGAGGUAGUAGGACCAGACGACAUCCUUGAAGUAACUACCAACAUCAAAGAAAUCAUCAAUGCCGG